UCCUGUGUGGCUCAGUUGGUAGAGCAUGGUGUUUGCAAUGCCAGGGUUGUGGGUUCAAUUAUACACAGGGG
rnacentral:tRNA from 1 species